UACAGAGGCGGCAAGCGUUGUUCGGAAUUAUUGGGCGUAAAGAGCACGUAGGCGGCUCUGCAAGUCAGCUGUGAAAGCCUUCUGCUUAACGGAAGAACAGCAGUUGAAACUACAGGGCUUGAGUGCGGGAGGGGAGAGUGGAACUUCUGGUGGAGCGGUGAAAUGCGUAGAUAUCAGAAGGAACGCCGGCGGCGAAAGCGGCUCUCUGGUCCGCAACUGACGCUGAGUGUGCGAAAGCUAGGGGAGCAAACGGG
rnacentral:rRNA from 1 species